rnacentral:lncRNA from 1 species
AAACUGUUCACUCACUAUGCACUUCCCAUCAAAACGGCAGGCUUCAGUUCUCUGUGCUCUCUGCGGCGAUACGGCCUGCUCACAGAAUCUAGGUCCCGAGUCACUUGGAUGUGACCAACUGCCAACAGAGAGAGGAAAGACAGAAGCGGCUACUUAAAAGCCAAACCCAGGGUUUGGAAGUUGUCUCUCAGAUGGCAAGAGGCUCUUGGAAUUAAAUCAGCUCCUUUGGAGAAUAAAGUCUUAUGCUCAAACACGACAGGUAUAAAUUACUGAGAAGGAACUUCAUAGCUCAGAGAAGCUAUUUCCCCACCAGCCCAACCCACUGCUCAGGGUGAUAACCCGGACUCCCCUGUCGUCAUCACGGGCAAGGGAGGGCUGUACUGUUAUCCCCUGUCCUUAGUAAAGUCGUCCUGGACUCAGUCGGGAAUCUUGUUGGACAGUCACCUCUGACUCCAUCUUGAGCGGCCUGUGGGGCACCGUAAGCCGAACUGGGUUUCUUGUGGUCAAGGAAGAUACAAAAGAGCUGGUGGGUGGCCACGUCAAGGCCUGGCUUGUGCAGGGGAUGUUCUCCCACCGGGAACCACGGGAGGCCUGACCCCGGUACAAGUCCACAUGGAAAAGCUGGCAAAACAGCCUGCCAUCGGCACAGUACAGGAAGCGGUUUGCGCUGUGGCUACACCACCCAUGUGUUACACAAUGUGAUACAACUGGGGGGGGGGGCGUGGGGGACAACUGGCUUUCUUCUUCUUCCAAAUUAAAAUAGCCUUUCCUUAACGAA